rnacentral:rRNA from 1 species
UACACCUGUUCCCAUGCCGAACACAGAAGUUAAGCUUCUUAGCGCCGAUAGUAGUUGGGGGUUUCCCCCUGUGAGGGUAGGACGUUGCCA